GGAGCCUGGUGACCACAUGCGGGUCUUGGAUAGUAGAAUGUCUAUUUGGUAGGAGGGAAGUUGAAUGAGAUGGGGUUGACCAGAAGGUCUGGACCUUAGACGAGCUCCAGCCAUGAUCUUCCUAAGAUCAAUCCAAGGAUGUUAAAGCAACUUGAGAAAAGCAUUUAUUCUCUGCUCCUGGAAUUACCCUUCACUUUCCUGGCAGGGACUCUUGGCAUUGUCUCUAAACCUCUGAGCCAGGCUAAGGGCCUGGGAGACAACUGAAGCCCCCACCUCACCCUUCUCUGGCACCCCAGCACUGCCUGGCUGUACACUGCUUUCCGAGGCUACAGAUGGUUGAAGCUGCAAGGGGGGCCUCAGAGAUUAUCAAGUCCAAAAGGGGUGCCCCAAGGCAAGAUGGGGAGUGCCCUCAAAGACAGGAGGAAGAAGUUCAUGAGGAGGUGGCACUGCCAGUGGGGCACACAGCCCCCACACCUGUCCCAAGCCAGAGUAAUCGCUCCUUCAUCGUUUGAGUUAGUUCUUCAUUUAUUCAUUAUCUGCUCAUCGGAGUUUUAGAGCCCCUCACCGUCACUCUGUGGAGGAGAAAAAAUCACCAUCAUGAAACCUAGAAGCUAGUGGGGGAAACUGACCAUAAACACAUGAACAAGUGAAGACACAAGAAAAUAUCAAGGAGUGAUAAGUGCAGU